GAGAGGAUUUCAGUUAUAAAUCUCUUCCCUAUUUCUCGGUUGUGCUUCCAACUUUCACUAGGCAGCACAGACUCGCCCAGCACAGUCCCUCCUGCAGCCGGGCGACUCCCUCCCUUCACUCUGUGAACAGCUAGUGUUUCCUGCGUGUGCUGGAGCAUGGCUUCCCACCCUGCUGCUAUAGGGAAGGGUGCCAUGCAAACAUCUGUAACAAACACUGUGGAGCUAUUACCAUCUUGCAUGAACAUGACAUGUACAUGAAACGUGUAGUAAAAAACACUGAAACCUCUUUGAGUAAGAUGACCAGACAUCCUGUUUUUAAAGGGACAGUCCCAUAUUUAAGCCUUCCUACAGGUGUCCCAACUUUUUCUUUAAAACGGGCAAAUUGUCCCAUAUUUUCUGUCUCCCCUCGUCAGUACUGGUGGGUCCUGCUGCUGGCCAGAUCGCUGCUCGACAGCCGCCUGCCCACCAGCGGUGCGGAGGGUCCAGUAGCCGACUAUGGGGGUGGGUGUGCAAGGCUGGUGGUGGAGCAAAGCUGCAGCGCACGGGACCAGCUGAUCCUCCUGCUGGUCUGUCAGCACAGCCCCCUGCUGCGUGCCGGCUCUCAGUCAGCAGGGUCCUGCUCUCCAUCCCAUUUCAGGCAGGCACUGGCUGCAUGGUGCGAGCUGUGGUGGCUGGUGAGUGCGGGCAGGCACCAGGCAGCGGCUCGUUACAUCACCUCCGCUGCCCACCCAUCAGCCCUUUACAUGCCCCCCCUCUUGCUGUCCUCUCCCUACUUUGCCCCUUCACCUCCCCUCAGCCCCACUGCUCCUCCAUAUCCCUCCUGGUGGGACGCAUUCCACUCCCAGCACUGUGCAGAGAACCAGCCCCUGUUGGGAGUGCUCAGCUCACCAACAUUCUGGCCGGCAGGCUCCUUCCUUCCCCCACUGCCUCUGGCUGGGCCAGCGCCAUGGGAAAGCCCAAGACCCUCCGGCCAAGCUCUGUGUGCCAGAGCCCCACACAGCGCUGGCACAGGGAAGUCUCUCCGCCCCUCAGCUAAGCUCUGGAGUGGCGAGGGGGAAAGCGAUUUCCAGCCUGUUCAUGCCCCGACCCUGCAAUCUCCACAGCUGCCCCCCGUGCAACAGCUUAACACCCUCUUCACCUGCUCCCCACUGCCCUGGGUCCUGCCCCCAGAGAGCAUGGGGCUGCUCCAUCCCCUAGGCACCUGCCGCUGCUGAGCCACCUCUCUGGCCAGGUUCACUGAAGCCCCUGCAGUCAGGUUCCCUGGGCCCUGGUGCACUAUGCAGCCUUAGGGUUUAACCCAUUUCUGCCCGUGCUGUAGCUGAGG
rnacentral:lncRNA from 1 species